rnacentral:rRNA from 1 species
UACGUAGGCAGCGAGCGUUGUUCGGAAUUACUGGGCGUAAAGGGCGCGUAGGCGGCCUGCUAAGUCGAACGUGAAAUCCCCGGGCUCAACCCGGGAACUGCGUCCGAUACUGGAAGGCUUGAAUCCGGGAGAGGGAUGCGGAAUUCCAGGUGUAGCGGUGAAAUGCGUAGAUAUCUGGAGGAACACCGGUGGCGAAGGCGGCAUCCUGGACCGGAAUUGACGCUGAGGCGCGAAAGCCAGGGGAGCAAACGGG